rnacentral:rRNA from 1 species
UACGUAGGGACCGAGCGUUGUCCGGAAUCAUUGGGCGUAAAGAGCGUGUAGGCGGCCAACUAAGUCCGACGUGAAAUCCCCCAGGCUUAACCUGGGAACUGCGUCGGAUACUGGAUGGCUUGAAUCCGGGAGAGGGAUGCGGAAUUCCAGGUGUAGCGGUGAAAUGCGUAGAUAUCUGGAGGAACACCGAUGGCGAAGGCAGCCCCCCUGGGUCAAAACUGACGCUCAUGCACGAAAGCGUGGGGAGCAAACAGG